UACGUAGGUGGCAAGCGUUGUCCGGAAUUAUUGGGCGUAAAGCGCGCGCAGGUGGUCCUUUAAGUCUGAUGUGAAAGCCCACGGCUCAACCGUGGAGGGUCAUUGGAAACUGGGGGGACUUGAGUGCAGAAGAGGAUAGUGGAAUUCCAAGUGUAGCGGUGAAAUGCGUAGAGAUUUGGAGGAACACCAGUGGCGAAGGCGACUAUCUGUCUGUAACUGACACUGAGGCGCGAAAGCGUGGGGAGCAAACAGG
rnacentral:rRNA from 1 species